CACAAACAAAAACAUUAAGCGACACAAAAACUAACAACAACAGUUAAGUAAAACAGAUUGAAAACAUGACUCAGAAUUCAUGAAAGAAUGAUAAUGUAGUAAGAUAAAAAUUGUGAAAGUCAUUUUUUACAGAGGUAAGCUAAUAAGUAGGCGACCAUAUAUUAUGCAGAUCUUAUUUGUUAUUGAAGAUAUGACUCUCAGCAUAAGACUCAACUUUAGACAAUGUACAUUAAAACAGAG
rnacentral:lncRNA from 1 species